UACGUAGGGGGCAAGCGUUGUCCGGAAUCAUUGGGCGUAAAGCGCGUGUAGGCGGUCCGAUAAGUCGGUUGUGAAAGUCAAGGGCUCAACCCUUGAAUGCCGACCGAUACUGUCGGGCUAGAGUCCGGAAGAGGUGAGUGGAAUUCCUGGUGUAGCGGUGAAAUGCGCAGAUAUCAGGAGGAACAUCAGUGGCGAAAGCGACUUCCUGGACCAAUACUGACGCUCAUGUGCGAAAGCGUGGGGAGCAAACAGG
rnacentral:rRNA from 1 species